rnacentral:misc_RNA from 1 species
AACACAAAAAACAGGUAGCUGUGGAAUUUGGAAUUCCAUUAUUUGUUCAUAAAGUGGUCGAUUCUAGAGAGGCCCCUGCUUUACCCGGGCUACCAUCAUCAACGAUAAAUGCUGAGGAGGCAGGGGUGUCUCCUUUACAAUUGCGCACUGCUGCAAUGGCUCUUUUGCGUCAUGGAUCCAGCAUGCCACCCAGGCGCCGAGAAGAACUAACACAGAUUGUUACACAAUAUUAUGGAGGAAGGGAGAUCACCGAGGAAGAUUUG